AGUCAACAAUUCCAAAAUGUCUCAAAGAGAACUAGCACAAGCACUAAAGGACCAGCUCUUGACCUAUAGUCUCCUCUAAAACAAAAUCGCUUGCAUUGCCAGGAGAGUGAUGUAGUAGAGCACCUCUCAAUAUCCAAUAGCUUUAGGGGACCGCCUUCAGCUAGAAAGGAAAGGCUUUAAACCCAAGAAUAUCGACGUCACUGCAAUGCUUAAAUCCUUAAUUCCCACCAAGUAGCGACAGCUUCUAAACCUAGGA
rnacentral:misc_RNA from 1 species